rnacentral:rRNA from 1 species
GACGAACGCUGGCGGCGUGCUUAAUACAUGCAAGUCGAACGGACAGGCCCUGCUCUUGCGGGGUGCUCGAGUGGCGAACGGGUGUGUAACACGUGAGUAAACUGCCCUUGUCUUUGGGAUAACUCCUGGGAACUGGGGCUAAUACCGGAUAGGAGCUCCUGCUGCACGGUGGGGGUUGGAAAGAUACGGCGGUUGGGGAUGGACUCGCGGCUUAUGAGCUUGUUGGUGGGGUAGUGGCUUACCAAGGCUUAGACGGGUAGCCGGCCUGAGAGGGUGACCGGGCACAUGGGGACUGAGAGACGGCGCAGACGCGUACGGGACGCAGCAGUGGAGAAUAUUGCACAAUGGGCCGAAGCCUGAUGUGACAACGCCCCGAGCGGGAUGACGGCCUUCGGGUUGUAAACCGCUGUCGCCUGUAACGAAGCGUGAUUGACGGUAAUGGGUAAGGAAGCACCGGCUAACUACGUG